UAACUUUACCCGUAUGUUGGACAAAUUAUCAAUACAUAAAACAGAUACACAGUACAUCAGUUAUAGGUUCUCACCAAACAUGUAAAUAUAUACACAGUGUUAAUGUCUUGUUACUCAGUGCAAUGAGCAAACUGUGCGGCAGUUGUGUUUUGUAUGGCAGUGAUGAUCGGGAAGUGAAAGAAAAAGCCUUGAAGACAUCUUUUCCAUCUUUGCCUUCGACUGAGGCCACAAUACUGGAAUAGUCACAAGCAAUGUGAGUGAAUCCUCUGGACAUUGUUUGCAAGCCGCCUAGUAAGUGGUAUCGGGUCUCCUGACUCAGUCCGCUGUCUCC